CAGUAGCCGCGGGAAAACGGAGGGGGCUAGCGUUGUUCGGAAUUACUGGGCGUAAAGCGCACGUAGGCGGCUUGGUAAGUUAGAGGUGAAAGCCCGGAGCUCAACUCCGGAAUUGCCUUUAAGACUGCCGAGCUAGUAGGUGAGAGAGGUAAGUGGAAUUCCGAGUGUAGAGGUGAAAUUCGUAGAUAUUCGGAAGAACACCAGUGGCGAAGGCGGCUUACUGGCUCAUUCUAGACGCUGAGGUGCGAAAGCGUGGGGAGCAAACAGGAUUAGAUACCCCUGUAGUCCCUGUCUUUAUACA
rnacentral:rRNA from 1 species